AGGGUUUCAAAUUGGUACCUUGGGUUCAAAAGAGGUGUCCCUACGAAAUACUUUUUUGAUGUUCAGACUCGGAUUGCCCUGUUUAUGCUAGAUUCGAAAAGUGAAGAUUGGAGGUGAGGGAAAGUGAAGCUAGUUGAUCCGUUGGACUAUUGCUUUGUUGGGAAACAAUUCUCAGGACAUCCAUGGCUUUAGCAACCUUAGCCUUGAGAGCAUCAGGUGAUUUUAUCAAAUGCAAAACUUCAGGCUGAUCCAUCUCCAAAAGUAUGCCGGUAACCUCCCUGUGGUACCGACGAGCAGAUGAACUGGUUGAGGAAUGGCUUCGGUGUGAUCGGUUAUGGACCAGGGAUACAACUGAAACGGGACCACAAUAGAAUUAGGAUUUUUACAUCUGCUGAUGAGAUCUGAUAUGCCAAUAUCAGUGACAUAAAUACAUCCUUUAAUAUUCAGGUGACACAAUGAAACACAGAAUUUGGAGAUAUACUGGAGACUCAAAUCACUGGCAUUAGCUCUUCCGUCCAAUGAAGGAAAGGACUGGCUGAAGUAAUCAACAGCAUGUUCAAUAAGCAGUCUUCGACACCUUGAGAUAUCCAACUCCUGAACUGCUUCAAAGAUUAAGGUAUCUAACAGUUUUUUGUGGGAAUUCAAAAUUCUCUCUUAUAGGAUGUCCGGAACUAAUACAGAACUGUUCUAUAAUCUUCCUUUGCAUUGGAUCCGUGAAAUAUGAAGCAGGUAUGAGUGACAGAAACAGUAUUGCAGAUGUUAUCUGCGGACAAUUGGAAAGGUCUACUUCCUUUGAAUAUUCUGUAACUCGAAUCCUGAGAUGUUGCAAGUCACUAUAUCCGGAAAUAUCAAGUGAACCUUACAUCAUCUAGGAAUUUCUGGAUGAAGAAUAAAGACUUUCAAUGCUUCAGGAAUUAGGCUGCGCUGAAGGGGUCACUUGUGGUGCAAAGGGCCUUUCGAGAUUUGCUUGGUGUUUAUGGAUGUGAAGUCCAGCACAUGUCUGCAGCAGG